GUGGUAAUGCCGGAUGUUCCACAUGAUCGCAUGUGAUUGUGGGAAAGAUUCUAUCGGCGUGGGAUGGGGUCGCGUCCUAUCAGCUUGUUGGUGAGGUAACGGCUCACCAAGGCUUCGACGGGUAGCCGGCCUGAGAGGGCGACCGGCCACAUUGGGACUGAGAUACGGCCCAGACUCCUACGGGAGGCAGCAGUGGGGAAUAUUGCACAAUGGGCGCAAGCCUGAUGCAGCGACGCCGCGUGAGGGAUGGAGGCCUUCGGGUUGUAAACCUCUUUUGUUUGGGAGCAAGCCUUCGGGUGAGUGUACCUUUCGAAUAAGCGCCGGCUAACUACGUGCCAGCAGCCGCGGUAAUACGUAGGGCGCAAGCGUUAUCCGGAUUUAUUGGGCGUAAAGGGCUCGUAGGCGGCUCGUCGCGUCCGGUGUGAAAGUCCAUCGCUUAACGGUGGAUCUGCGCCGGGUACGGGCGGGCUGGAGUGCGGUAGGGGAGACUGGAAUUCCCGGUGUAACGGUGGAAUGUGUAGAUAUCGGAAAGAAACACC
rnacentral:rRNA from 1 species